rnacentral:rRNA from 1 species
AUUGAACGCUGGCGGCAGGCCUAACACAUGCAAGUCGAACGAGUGGCGGACGGGUGAGUAAUGUCUGGGAAUCUGCCUGGUAGUGGGGGAUAACGUCCGGAAACGGGCGCUAAUACCGCAUACUAUCAGAUGAGCCUAGGUCGGAUUAGCUAGUUGGUGGGGUAAAGGCCUACCAAGGCGACGAUCCGUAACUGGUCUGAGAGGAUGACCAGCCACACUGGAACUGAGACACGGUCCAGACUCCUACGGGAGGCAGCAGUGGGGAAUAUUGCACAAUGGGCGCAAGCCUGAUGCAGCCAUGCCGCGUGUAUGAAGAAGGCCUUCGGGUUGUAAAGUACUUUCAGCGGGGAGGCGUUACCCGCAGAAGAAGCACCGGCUAACUCCGUGCCAGCAGCCGCGGUAAUUC